rnacentral:lncRNA from 1 species
GCAAUCCCAGGAUUCCUGAAUCUCAGAAUUCCUGGGACCACUUCUGGGAUCAGUCAAGAACCAAUCAGAGCAGGGAAUGCAUCUGAGACAAAACAAAUUUCUGGUGUAGUCAUGGAGUAUAGCGUGUGUACUUGACAACUUACUAGCUGUAUGAUCUUUGGAAUGUUGGGUGAUCUGUCCAGGAGUGUUUUCAUUUGUCAAGUGGAGGUGAUAUUAUUUCUCUGCCCUACCACACUCAGCCAAGUGGCCGUGAAUCAUAUAUCUCUCCUCCCACUGCUUGCAGCUGCAGUUCUUUGGAACUUGGAGGACACCAGACAAGCAGCUUAUAAAUGACAGGCAGUGAAGGGCUCUGCUCAGAUAGAAUAACUGCUUGAAUCCAGUCUUUCAUCUGAAAAUUAAAAUGGACAACUCCCAGAAGCUCCUGGGGUUUGGGAAAUUUUGGGGACCAUGGAUAAGCUGAUGAGGCAGAGAUGAGUCAUUCAUAAGAAGAGAAGAAUGGAGAAGAGAAGAGCAAACUGGGAGAGGCAGAGACUGGGGACACUGAGGGAGCCUCCCCUGGGUGUCAGCAUCCACCCCCCAAGAUGCAGAAGGUUCUGCCCUAUUUCCUCAUUUGGGUUCCCUCAGAGCAAAACCAACAAAACAAAACUCUCCCUUUCACUUGAACUGUCUGCAUGGUCUGUCUUCCUUGAAAUCAAAAGAUUCUGGCCUGGGGAAAAAAGAACAUCUCUAAUACACUGCAGAUAAUGGAAAGAAUUUAGAAAAAUAGGAAGAUUCAUAGGAGAAAUCAAGAUCCCCAGUAGAGAAGAAAAAAGGCUGAUGGUAAAAAUUAACUAUAAAAUGGGGAUGAUCUUUCGACCAAUUAUUUCAACAAUCGGGCCAAGGAAAUCCAUGAUAUGAUUUGAAAGAUGAAGUCAUUUCAGCAUGUUCCUGGCACGUGUGACAAAGGAGGCCACCAGAAGCAGAGGAACUUCAGAGUCACUUGAGACUGAGGAAGAUGUGGAGUUUGAACUGAGCCUUGAAGAUUUCAAGAAGCACUGACAGAAGAGGAAGGCAUUCCAAGCCGGGUCUUGUGUGGGGAAGGACGUGGAGGCAGUAGAGAGACAGCGAGUGCUGCUUGGCCUGCAGGGUCCAAGUAGGGAAGUGGCUGGAAAGCUAAGUGAGGACCGGACGGGAAAGUCCUAUAGAGCAGCCUGAGCAGUGCCCAAGCAGCUGAAGGAUUUUGAGCAGGAAGAUGGCAUGAUCAGAGCUGGCACUGGAUGGUUAUUCUGGGGUAAAUGUAGCUAGGGAACUGUAACUCCUUAUUCUUAGGGGCAUGUUAGGGAUGGAAUUUUGGUUCUGAAAUGCACCCCUAUGUCUUAUGUCAUUUCUACCUCGUGGAUGAAGUUUUGAUUUGUAAGUUAUUUUAUACUGUCUUUGGAAAGGAUUGUCUUUGCCAGGGGAUUUAUUUUUAUAUUUCCUGAGCCCUUCCUUCAGAUAGCUUAUAUUUUAGUUGAGAGACAAGACUAGAACACGUGAAAGAACAAUACAAAGCAAAAUGCAAGAUUCAGUUCAGACUAGAAGUUCUUGAG